GACGAACGCUGGCGGCGUGCCUAAUACAUGCAAGUCGAGCGGACAGAAGGGAGCUUGCUCCCGGAUGUUAGCGGCGGACGGGUGAGUAACACGUGGGUAACCUGCCUGUAAGACUGGGAUAACUCCGGGAAACCGGAGCUAAUACCGGAUAGUUCCUUGAACCGCAUGGUUCAAGGAUGAAAGACGGUUUCGGCUGUCACUUACAGAUGGACCCGCGGCGCAUUAGCUAGUUGGUGGGGUAAUGGCUCACCAAGGCGACGAUGCGUAGCCGACCUGAGAGGGUGAUCGGCCACACUGGGACUGAGACACGGCCCAGACUCCUACGGGAGGCAGCAGUAGGGAAUCUUCCGCAAUGGACGAAAGUCUGACGGAGCAACGCCGCGUGAACGAAGAAGGCCUUCGGGUCGUAAAGUUCUGUUGUUAGGGAAGAACAAGUACCAGAGUAACUGCUGGUACCUUGACGGUACCUAACCAGAAAGCCACGGCUAACUACGUGCCAGCAGCCGCGGUAAUACGUAGGUGGCAAGCGUUGUCCGGAAUUAUUGGGCGUAAAGGGCUCGCAGGCGGUUUCUUAAGUCUGAUGUGAAAGCCCCCGGCUCAACCGGGGAGGGUCAUUGGAAACUGGGAAACUUGAGUGCAGAAGAGGAGAGUGGAAUUCCACGUGUAGCGGUGAAAUGCGUAGAGAUGUGGAGGAACACCAGUGGCGAAGGCGACUCUCUGGUCUGUAACUGACGCUGAGGAGCGAAAGCGUGGGGAGCGAACAGGAUUAGA
rnacentral:rRNA from 1 species